rnacentral:tRNA from 2 species
GCCUGGGUGGCUCAGUCGGUUGAGCGUCUGACUUCAGCUCAGGUCACGAUCUCGCGGUCCGUGGGUUCGAGCCCCACGUCGGGCU